UCGAGUUCUUUGGCUCUGACGCUGGCCGCUUUCCGGCAUGUGCUCGAGUCUUAAUCCACUCACCACUGUGCACUAAUUCGGAGCCCUCGCGGCUUCGAGCCCCUUUACAAACUUCUAUUGUCAUGUCGAAUGUAAUCUUUAUUAAAUA
rnacentral:misc_RNA from 1 species